rnacentral:piRNA from 1 species
GUCACUGUUACCAUCAAAAAUGAACCUUGGC